GAACGCGGCGCAGGCGAAGAAGGCCCCAAGGCCGAGCGCGACGCCGAAGCGGCAGGCACCCGCGUUGCCGUUGAAGACGCAGCGCAGCUCCGGGCCGCUGUCGGCGUUCACGUAGCCCUCGUUGACUAUGGGCCCGAAGACGGCGAUGGAGAACACCUGUGGGCGGUGGGAGCGCUCAAGGCCCUGCGAUGGCCCCUUCCUGGUCGAGGCCCGAGGUCUCCUAGCCCACCCCCCAGCUCCUAGAGACUUAGUCAAGAGUGAAACCAAGGUGCAAGAUAUGGACACGUACCCACAGAUUGGUCCACAAGUCAGGUCAAAGCUGGGACCAGAACGUAGGGUCCCUACUUCCUGGUCUGGCCAGUCACUCCACCCAAGGGCCCCUGCCCCACUCUGGGCACUGCCCUCCUGGAACACAGGGGUCACGGGUUCGAGCCCUGGUCUGGGAAGAUCCCACAUGCCACGGAGCAACUAAGCCCGCGAGCCACAACUACUGAAGCCCGUGUGCCUGGAGCCCGUGCUCCACAAGAGAAGCCACUGCAAUGAGAAGCCCACGCACUGCAAUGAUGAAUAGCCCCCGCUCACCACAACUAAAAGAAAGCCCGUGCACAGCGAGGACCCAA